AUGAUCGCUGGCGGCGUGCCUAAUACAUGCACGUCGAGCGAACAGAUGAGGAGCUUGCUCCUCUGACGUUAGCGGCGGACGGGUGAGUAACACGUGGAUAACCUACCUAUAAGACUGGGAUAACUUCGGGAAACCGGAGCUAAUACCGGAUAAUAUAUUGAACCGCAUGGUUCAAUAGUGAAAGACGGUUUUGCUGUCACUUAUAGAUGGAUCCGCGCCGCAUUAGCUAGUUGGUAAGGUAACGGCUUACCAAGGCAACGAUGCGUAGCCGACCUGAGAGGGUGAUCGGCCACACUGGAACUGAGACACGGUCCAGACUCCUACGGGAGGCAGCAGUAGGGAAUCUUCCGCAAUGGGCGAAAGCCUGACGGAGCAACGCCGCGUGAGUGAUGAAGGUCUUCGGAUCGUAAAACUCUGUUAUUAGGGAAGAACAAAUGUGUAAGUAACUAUGCACGUCUUGACGGUACCUAAUCAGAAAGCCACGGCUAACUACGUG
rnacentral:rRNA from 1 species